AGUCCGAGUUGUAAUUUGCAGAGGGCGCUUUGGAGUUGGCAGCGGUCCAAGUUCCUUGGAACAGGACGUCACAGAGGGUGAGAAUCCCGUACGUGGUCGCUAGCCUUCGCCGUGUAAAGCCCCUUCGACGAGUCGAGUUGUUUGGGAAUGCAGCUCUAAAUGGGAGGUAAAUUUCUUCUAAAGCUAAAUACUGGCCAGAGACCGAUAGCGCACAAGUAGAGUGAUCGAAAGAUGAAAAGCACUUUGGAAAGAGAGUCAAAUAGCACGUGAAAUUGUUGAAAGGGAAGCGCUUGCAGCCAGACUUGCCUGUAGUUGCUUAUCCGGACUCUUGUCCGGUGCACUCUUCUAUAGGCAGGCCAGCAUCAGUUUGGGCGGUUGGAUAAAGGUCUCUGUCACGUACCUCUCUUCGGGGAGGCCUUAUAGGGGAGACGACAUGCAACCAGCCUGGACUGAGGUCCGCGCAUCUGCUAGGAUGCUGGCGUAAUGGCUGUAAGCGGCCCGUCUUGAAACACGGACCAAGGAGUCUAACAUCUAUGCGAGUGUUUGGGUGUCAAGCCCAGACGCGUAAUGAAAGUGAACGGAGGUGGGAACCCUUUGGGUGCACCAUCGACCGAUCCUGAUGUCUUCGGAUGGAUUUGAGUAAGAGCAUGGCUGUUGGGACCCGAAAGAUGGUGAACUAUGCUUGAAUAGGGUGAAGCCAGAGGAAACUCUGGUGGAGGCUCGCAGCGGUUCUGACGUGCAAAUCGAU
rnacentral:rRNA from 1 species